UUCCAGCUCCAAUAGCGUAUAUUAAAAUUGUUGCGGUUAAAAAGCUCGUAGUUGGAUUUCUGUCGGGGACGACCGGCCCGCCCCCUGGGUGCGUACCUGGUUCGGCCUUGGCAUCUUCUUGGAGAACGUUACUGCACUUGAUUGUGUGGCGCGGUAAUCAGGACUUUUACUUUGAGGAAAUUAGAGUGUUUCAAGCAGGCACAGUCCUUGAAUACAUUAGCAUGGAAUAAUAAGAUAGGACAUUAGUUCUAUUUUGUUGGUUUCUAGAGCUCAGGUAAUGAUUAAUAGGGAUAGCUGGGGGCAUUCGUAUUUAAUUGUCAGAGGUGAAAUUCUUGGAUUUGUUAAAGACGAACUACUGCGAAAGCAUUUGCCAAGGAUGUUUUCAUCG
rnacentral:rRNA from 1 species